CCAGGAGGUAACAGGGAAUUUAUAACUGUGAUUUCCCGGCAAACAGAUGAAGUCCUAAAAGGCAAGAAUCAAGUGUGUGUUGUAUCUUUGUUUGUAAACACCAUUAAUAAUGAGUGUUUCCUGUGUGUGACGGGGGUUUUGAUCAUGACAUUGAUUGUGGGUCUGGAGCAGCAGUGUGAGCUGACCUGUCGACCGGUCGGGUAUCGUUUCUACGUGCGACAGGCGGAGAAGGUACGAGAUGGAACGCCCUGCGCAAAUAACACACCCAACGAUGUGUGUGUGGGAGGACGCUGUCUGAGCGAGGGCUGUGACGGUGUGUUGGGCUCAGGGUUGGUCCGGGAUCGCUGUGGCAUGUGCGGCGGGGGAGACAGCACCUGUGAGAGGGUCACAGGAAGUUUCCUGAACACCAGCGUCCCACUGGGCUACCACAAGAUCCUGAACAUCCCACCCGGAGCCACGGCCAUCAACAUCACUGAGAGACGAGCCAGUCCCAACUAUCUGGCCCUGCGCAGUGGAACGGGUCAGUCAGUGGUGAACGGACGCUGGGCGGUCGAUCCUCCAGGAGAGUAUCAGGCUGGAGGAACCACCUUCCUGUACAGCCGACCCAAAUCUGGGCCUCAAGAGCAGGGAGAAGAGAGAGGAGAAACCCUCAGCGCUCCUGGACCCACAACAGCCCAGCUGCAGCUAUACGUAAUGGAAGUGGAGAAUCCUAUUGCUGCUCCUCCUGUGUCGUCUUCCGCCUCCUCACCUCCAUUUUCAUUCCCUUCCUCCUCAUCUUCAUCAUCGUCUUCCUCUGUAUCUGAUCGAUGGCCACAAGAGAGGCCCCGCCCACAGGGCUUAGGACCCAAUCGCAACGCUCGAAUCCCUCCAAGAACGGACCUCCCAUUGGACAAUCAGCCUGCGUUCGUGUGGCGAAGGGGUGCGCUGACAGAAUGCACUGCUACCUGCGGAAAAGGCUCUCAGUACAGAGAGAUUGUGUGUGUGAGUCGACACACAGAACAGGAAGUCCAUGAGAGGAGGUGUGACUCUGCAACCAAACCUGCGCCGGAGGAGGAACCGUGUAACGUUCAUCCCUGUCCACCGUUCUGGGAUAUGGGCGUGUGGUCCGAGUGCAGUGUCUCCUGUGGCUGGGGUGUGCAGCAGCGUCACAUACAGUGCAGGCAGAGUUUUGGGAAUCGCUCCACCAUGGUUCACCCUCAGCGCUGUGCCAGUCUCAGCCGCCCAAACGCCACGCAGCCCUGCCACCCACACGUCUGCUCGCACUGGGAGAUCAGCACCAACUGGAGCACGUGCUCAGUGGAUUGUGGACUGGGAAAGAGAUCCCGGAGCGUGCGCUGUGUCAGUGACCAUGGCAACACUGUGAGUGACAGGGAGUGCAGUGACAGGCUCCGCCCACAGCACACCGAGGACUGUCACAUGGGUCCUUGUGUCACGAACUGGUACUUCACGGACUGGACAAACACUUGCUCUGCGACGUGUGGGCCGGGCGUCCAGCGGAGAGAGGUGGUGUGUUUGAUCGUCGGGAGAGGAGACAGAGAAGUGAAGUGUGCGGGGGAGAAACCGGCUGAUAUGAAGGCCUGUAACGGGGGCCCCUGUACACCCACCCACCUCUGGUACACCGGACCCUGGGGACAGUGUAACGCAGCGUGUGGAAGCGGCACCCAGCGCAGGGACAUCAUCUGCGUGAGGAAGACAGGAAGUGACUUCACCGUGAGCGCUGCCAGUGAGUGCUCACACCUGGAGAAACCGUCUCCCGUGCAGCCGUGUGAGCUGCAGCCCUGCACACCGCAGUGGUUCACCACCGAGUGGAGCGCGUGCUCUCGGUCCUGCGGUGAAGGGGUGCAGACGCGGGAGGUGCGGUGUCUCACAGCUGACAAACAGCACAACACAGCCUGUGAUCUGGACUCAAGACCUGCCCAUGAGCGCUCCUGCAACACCAUACCCUGCAGUCCCUUCGAAGAUGAGAACUGUAAGGACAGAAGACAUAACUGUGUAACGGUGGUCCAGGCUCGACUCUGCGUCUACUCUUACUAUAAGAGCGCCUGCUGUGCGUCCUGCACCCAGAGUGCUCAGCGGGCCAAGAGACACUAACCCUGCACAAGCCACAGAGACAUCAGGUUCAGAGAUUCACCACCAGAGCCAAAACUCAGCCAAUCACAGUUCUCUCAGAGGAAACAGCCAAUCAGACGCCAUUCAGGUUCAAAAGGAAUUCCAAAAGAGAAUUCCAACUUGAGAUCAGGAUCCCUUUAAAGUUUGAAAAUGUUAACGCAUAUGGACUCAUGGGCUCAAAUGAUUGACAGUAGCUCUUUCCCCAUUGGUGAUGAGUGUUUAGUACACUAUCCUGUCAAAUACUCAACCAUUCCAGGUUUAUUUGUGUGACUGAGGUAUGAUAAAACAAGCAGAUUAAAAUUAUAUACUUAUUGCAUAAAACUUGUGAGCAGCGAUACAUUUUUACAUUAAAAAAAAAAAAAAAAACCUUUGGCCUUGUCUCAGUCCUCUAAAUGGCCCAUAAGAUAUCAGUACUUCAGAAAGGACAUACAUAUUCCAGCAUAAGUGCUCAGAUUGUCUAAAAAUAGCACACUUAGUGCUGACAGUCAGUCCUACAGAUCGUAUUUGAGUGCAGUGUGAACAGAAACCUGUAAAUCUACUAUGAAUCUAGUUCAUCAUUAAGCUAUAAAGAGAAGAUUAGCAUCAUGAUCAGCUCUCUUUAUUUGAUUCAGUCUUUAUUUCUUUUGGUUGGUUUUGUCUGAAUGUAUAUCAGUCCUUUUAGUGUUUCAUGUUUUUGUCAUUUUUUGUGUGACACGUUUUUUGUUUUGUUGUUUAUUGUUAUUUCUGGCUGUUUUUAUUGGUUCCCAUAUUGUAAAUUUAAGAAAAAGUUCACCCAGAAAUGUAAAUGUGCUCACCUGUCCAAUAUAAGGAGAAGUUUGUUUCUUCAUCAGGUUUGUAGAAAUGUAGCAUUGCAUCAGUGUGUCAUCAAUGGAUGCUCUGCAGUGAAUGGGUGCCGUCAGAAUGAGAGUCCAAACAGCUGAUAAAAACAUCACAAUAAUCCACAACACUCCAGUCCAUCAGUUAAUGUAUUUUCCUUAAUUUCAAAUAUUUUAAGUUUUAAGCAUAUUUCUCUUCUGGUUCAGAUGAGAUGGACUUUUUCACUGGAGGAAGCAUCAUUAUGAAUCAAUGGUUUGAAGUUAAAAUGUUAUUAGUCUCCAGAUGUUAGUUAAUGUGGUGUUUUUAUCAGUUGUUUGGACUCUCAUUCUGACAGUAUAGUGAUUUCAGCCGAAGUCAGGUACAAUGCAAGACCACUGCCUUGGAUCAAACUGAGAUUAAAAUACUCUCUAGUGUUAGAACAUGUGAGAUUUCCAAUUAACAUUUUAGUAUAUAAAUACAGUCAGUUGUGUGUGUUCGUGUGUGUGUGUGUGUGUGUGUGUGUGUGUGUGUUUCAUGUCUGAGAGUUUAUGUAUAUUAUGUAUAUUAUCACGUACGUUUAGACAGGUAGCAGAUAGUCUUUAGAUGAAUAAAAAGAUGCUUUAUAUAUAAAACA
ensembl:lncRNA